GUGCAAUUUUGGAUCAUUUUGGCCCAUUCCCAUUACCAAAAAUGUGAACUUCCAUUUCUCCCCCAAUCCCCCAAACUCAAAACUUUGCGUUUUGCCCCAUUUUGACCCAAAAAAGUACAAUUUUGGGUCCUCCAUCGCGUCCCCAUUAUCAAAAAUCACAACUUUCCAUUUUGACCCAUUUUGACCCAAAAAAGUGCGGUUUUGGGUCAUUUUGGCCCAUUCCCAUUCACAAAAAUGUGAACUUUCAUUUCUCCCCCAAUCCCCCAAACUCAAAACUUUGGGUUUUGCCCCAUUUUGACCCAAAAAAAGUGCAAUUUUGGGUCCACCAUCGCAUCCCCAUUACCAAAAAUCACAACUUUCCAUUUUGACCCAUUUUGACCCCAAAAAAGUGCGGUUUUGGGUCAUUUUGGUCCAUUCCCAUUCACAAAAAUGUGAACUUUUGUUUCUCCCCAAAUCCCCCAAACUCAAAACUUUGGGUUUUGCCCCAUUUUGACCCAAAAAAUACAAUUUUGGGUCCUCCAUCGCGUCCCCAUUAUCAAAAAUCGCAACUUUCCAUUUUGACCCAUUUUGA
ensembl:lncRNA